UUCACCGAGCUCUAAUGGGAAGAGUGCGAGUUGAGGCAGAACAGGGCAUGUAAGGAGAGGUACUGAGAAUCUGAUAGGAAGGGGAAUGCAGAGUGUUGUGACCACAAGCAGAAGACUGACCUUCCAAACAGCACCAUCGGGAAAUCUCUAAAACGUGGAGAUGCACAGUGCUAGCUCAAGUCCCAGCUACUCCACUUUGGAUCCAGCUUCCUAACAUGCGUGGAAAGGCAGUGGAAAAUGUCUCAAGCGUUUGGGCUACUACCACCCAUGUGGGAGAUUUGGAUGGAGUUCCCAGUUCCUGGUUUUGAACUAGCCAUGUCAUGCCUGUUUUGGCCAUUUGUGGAAUGAACCAGAAGGUGAUGUCAUGUGUCACCUAAGGAUUCUGCCAGCAAGAAGGUCAUCUAUAUGGAGUAGCCUGCCUCUGAUAUUUGAUUACAAUGAAUAAUGGACUAAUGAAGUUCCUGAGUUCAAGUAUCUCAAGCCCAUGCAACCCUUCCUUGGCUGAGGUGGUCAAUGUCUCGGCAUAUCUACCACCACUGGGGGCAACGGUUUAAGCCAAGAUGUGCAAGCUGGGAAGUGCUCACUUUUUUGUGACUGGGGAGAGUAAGUAUUAAACUAUCUUUCACAGACUUCUGCUGCAUUUAGAUAAUCUCAGUGGUACAUUUUUCAUAGCUCCAUCAUUUAAAAGUGGAAUAAAACUCCUUCCAAGAAAUGUUUCCCUUUAUUUAACUAUAUUUUGUAUAUCUAUGCCUAUUCUUUCUCCAAGGCCAUCUGUCUAUCCAAUAUAAGGCAGGCAUGAUUUUUCUAUGUAGAGCAUUUCUCUCAAUCUAAAGUAUCUGUUAAUUGAGAGUUUUUCAAUUGAUUCUUCCAGAAAUAUUUCUAAUCAUUUAGAAGUAUUUAAAUUUAAGCUGAUAUAUAAAAAGAAUAUGGCUUAAAUUUACAUAUCAAUGUAAUAAUUAUUUAUUGGGCUAUUUUAUUAUUUUGCAAUGCUUUCUUCUCAUUAUUCUGUUUCAGGUUUUUUUUUUUUUCUCAUAAUGUUGUAUCAAAUUGGAACAAUCAAAAGAGAAUGUUUUUGUAAAACAAGCUAUAAAAAUUGUCUCAGUAAAUAUUUUGGCAACUUAACCAAUAUGUUUCCUGUCACACUCUAACCUCAGAAAAAUGAGAGGGAAAAAAGAACAUCAUUAGAUUACUUUAAUACUCAUCCAAAAGAUAUCUCAUAUCUACAGACAAGCAUACAGGAAAGAAUUUGAGAGAAUGAGGCAAAUUAGAAAGUGGAUCAAUGACAUAGCAAUUGAAGUUUAUCAAUUCAAAAUCAGCAUCUAUCAUUCCCGUAUGUUCUUAUAGGUACUGAAGCAAUAAAAAGAGAAUGCAAGGAAAACAUUUCUGAGGAAUCCUCAUAGUUUAGCAACAAUGGCAGGUGUAGGUUUCUCAAAUAAAAACACACAUUCCAAUAGGAAAAUAAACCAGCUACUAUUUAUGUAAACCAUGACUGUAUCUGAGAAAUACAGACUCCUUUCAAUAGUUAAUUUUAGAGUUUAAUUAGCAUCUAAUUUUCAUAAGAUAUGUACAUAAUUCUAAUAUUUUACAGUUAUAUUUGUCAGUUAAUGCCAUCUCUUCCAUGUAUGUAAAAAUUAGACAAAAAAUAAUGUUCUAAAGGGGAUCUAUAUAAGUCCUCCAGAUAAUCCAGAUAAUUUUCAUGCAAGUUAAAUUAGGAAACCAUUACUUUUUUCUGGACUAAAUCUCUGAGAAAUUUAAUACCUUAAAUAUUUACAUAUAUUUUGAAUGUAUUUGAAGAACCUGACUAUAUUCUCUGGUAUUAAAACAUUAUUACACAAGCAAAGAAAUUUGAGAUGCAGUAGCAUCUUUUUAAUGCUUGUGAGUCACUAAUCCUUUGAAGUGAUAACUCACGAUGAUAAAGUAAGAAUAUGUUAACCAUAGUAUAAAUAAAAGAGAAACUUUGGGACAAGCAUAGUAAGUUAAGCCUCCACUUGUGAUGCUGCAAUCCUAAAUCAGAGCAUCUGUUCCAGUCCUGGCUGUUCCACUUCUGAUCCAGCUUCCUGCCAAUGCGCCAGUGAAGACAACAGAAAAUGGUUCCACUGCUUUGGCCUCUGCCAUCAAUGUGGAAGCUCAGGAUGGAGUCCCUGUCCUGGCUUCAACCUGGCACAGGCUGGCUUUUGCAGCCAUUCGGGGAAUGAAUCUGUGUAUUGAAGAUCGAUCUCUCUUUCUCUCUCUCUCCCUCUCUCCCUCUCGCCUUGUCUGACAUUCUGCCUUUUAAAACAACCAAUAAAUCAUUUCAAAUAAUGAUAUGACGUUUUUGCAUUGGUUUGAAAGGAGACAGGAAACCUUUUCCAUACCAAAUUUUAGAGAAUUAAUAUUCAUCAAGUAAUAAUCCCAGGUUUCAUAAAGUUCAUUCUGAUGUCAUUAAAAAUACAAGAACAUGUAGACUGGAGAAACUGCGGUUUCAAUAUUAUUGCAUAUAUUUGCUUCAUUAGAGAUCUGCUGAGCCUAAGCUAAAAUUUAAUUUAAAACAUACAAUUAUAAAAUUAUCAAUAUUUACCAAUUUAAAGAAUAAUAUGUUUCAGAAAUAACAACUGAGAAAGCAGGCAUGUCUUGUGCUAAAAUCCACUAUGAACUCAUUUAUGAAGACAUAAAUCAGACCAAAAAAAUAAGACAUAGACCUCAUCUGCAAUUAAAACUAAUGAACUAUUUUUAUCUUACUAACAAUCACCAAAUGUUUCAGAAACAAAAACAAAACCAUUAUAUUUCAAAUUCACAAGAUAAAGAGGAAAACAAAUAUGUUUUAGCAGCUACAUUUUUAAAAGUUUAACUGUAUGUUGUUCUCUAAGAAGAAAUGAACAAAAAAGGUCUUGAGCACAUUAGAUUAUUGUAAGUACUUAUUUCAUGAAUAUGUAAAAGAAAAAUGUAAAAAAAUAAAAUUAUCUUUAAAGCUUUUCCAAUAUGAAAUGUAUUGCCUUUUUUUUUUAGUAGGUAGAUCACCUAGAUUUUAUCUAGACUGGAAUACCUUAAAUUUGGAGUAUUUUUGCAACUUUAUUGUGAUUAUCAUGAAUAUAGGUUAGGAAAGAAAUGCUACUUUGUCUUAAUGUAAUAAAAUUAUAUUUUGCUGUUUAUUUUAUUUAGAGUACGCAUUCUGUUUUUAUUCACUGGGUUGAAGCAUCAUUGUCUUGGUCAUUAAUCACUGAAUAUUCCAGUGAUUUUUGUUUAAGUCUACACAUUUGAGUUCAGUUUCUAUCGAGUUUGCAUUUAUUACAUUGUUAUCCAUAGAGAUAAAAACACAUAAAAUGAUGCCACAAAAAAGUAAAUCUAAUAUAAAAACCUGGCUUUAUCAAUUCAAAUACUUAUGCAGUUCAUUUUUUCUUACCUUUGAAUAUUUAAAACCAAUUGGCUCAUAUGGAAAUUUGUUUGCAUUUUUCAAGGUUCUGUUUGCUACCUAAAAUUCUGAUAGAUUUUGGCAGAAAACAGUGUAAGUGGUAACAGAGUUGGGAGAGAACAGACUUCUACUUCCUGUUCUACUUACAACUUCUAACUUCCACCACUCUCCUCAUAGCAGUACCUUCAUAAACAAAAGAGGAGGCUGAUAGAAUGUCAUGCUGUGGAGUAGUUGGGAUGAGGGAGAUGAAUUCAGAAAUACCAAACUAAUUAUGGCUGAGAUCCAAGGCAAUAUACACAUACCUACUCAGAAAUAACCAACUGUAGCAGGUAGGGACAUAAGCAGUAACAUGGAAUUGAGGCCGCUACCCCACCUGACUCCGGGCUGCCAAGGCACGUAUGAGAAAAGUAUGAGAUCUCCCUGUUGGAAGCAAUUCAUAGUCCAUAUUUGUGUAUAGUCAGGACUUUCUGAGCAAACAUUACUGGCAACCUGGGUUAAAGGUUUGCAUGAUAGAGAUCGUGAAAUACUCAGGGCGUGGAACCUGCUGUUUACUUGGCAAAGUGUUGUACCAACUUAGGGAGCUUCUUCUGGCCUCCUCAGAGGGGAUUUAUUUACAUCACAGAGCAAAAGAUUUCUCUUCCGCUUGGAGGAUGAGGUGGAGGGUGAACCAUCUCUGAAGUUCCAAGAUUCAUAAUUUUGGCCCUCCCCUAAAAAGUUCUCCCUUUUUGGGGCUCAUAUUGGCCCAAAAGGGAAGAGGAGCAAAGGGAACCAGCACUAAGAUUUCUCAUGAGAACUGCAGAGCUCAUGGCACAGAGGAUUCAGUCCCAAGCUCUCUAUUAACAGUCUCCAGCAUAGCUUCCCUCAGCACAGGGCUGUGUCCAUAGGAUGACCACAGCCCUCAAAUCUCUCAAAAUUCCUUCAUGAGCAACUCACACUACCAGGAGAAUUCAGUGUUUGUGUAGUUCAAGGAUGACAGCCCCCUGAUUUUCCUUUCUUAAAAAAGGGCUUGCAAUUGUGAAUGCAUGUACCAUACAACUCUUUCUCAGGAACCCGAAGGAAGGGCCUCUGUCUCCCAAUCUCUAUGGGAAAAUAGAAUCCCAACUUAGAUAACUGCCAGUCAGUGGCCCCCGCUGGCCUCUGGUACCUACCCUGUUUACUUCUGUGACUUAACUGAACACCCCCUCAGCAUUUUCCCUAAUUCUCUCUUAAAACUUCCCAGUCACUUCCAGUUAGAAAUGGAGCUCUCUGUUCUUUUUCUGUUGGCAGUAGUCACUGAAUAAAGUAUCUUUUUACUGCUUUAACUAGUAUCUGGUUGUAUUUAUUUUUGGCAUUAUUUA